GAUGAACGCUGGCGGCGUGCCUAAUACAUGCAAGUCGAGCGAACGGACGAGAAGCUUGCUUCUCUGAUGUUAGCGGCGGACGGGUGAGUAACACGUGGAUAACCUACCUAUAAGACUGGGAUAACUUCGGGAAACCGGAGCUAAUACCGGAUAAUAUUUUGAACCGCAUGGUUCAAAAGUGAAAUACGGUCUUGCUGUCACUUAUAGAUGGAUCCGCGCUGCAUUAGCUAGUUGGUAAGGUAACGGCUUACCAAGGCAACGAUGCAUAGCCGACCUGAGAGGGUGAUCGGCCACACUGGAACUGAGACACGGUCCAGACUCCUACGGGAGGCAGCAGUAGGGAAUCUUCCGCAAUGGGCGGAAGCCUGACGGAGCAACGCCGCGUGAGUGAUGAAGGUCUUCGGAUCGUAAAACUCUGUUAUUAGGGAAGAACAUAUGUGUAAGUAACUGUGCACAUCUUGACGGUACCUAAUCAGAAAGCCACGGCUAACUACGUG
rnacentral:rRNA from 1 species